UAGAUAGAUAGAUAUAAAUAAGUAAAGAAUUAACUAUUAUUUUAAUUAAUUUUUUAAAUUUUUAUAAAAAAAAUAUACAAAAAGUAAAAAGAAAAAUUAAUUUUUUGACAAUAAUUUUUUAACUAAUAGUUAGCAAAACAAUCCCAUAAAUACCAAAUCAGUGAUUGUAUUCCAAAAAGAUGUCACAAUUGCUCUACAAUUGUGUUUGCUGCCACGGUGAAAAGUAUAGAAGGGGGAGUUGUUCUAAGUGGCAGAGCAACUCGUCUCCUCUCAUCUCAGAACUUACUUGGGUCCCUUCCUUACCACUGCAAGCAGCGAAAGAAAUGGAAGGUUUCAAUAUGGAAGGAUCAAAUCCAUCAUCCUUGGUGUAUCUUUGUGUGAGCACAACCAAACUUUCUGGUGAACAAAAAACGAGUUGGUAUAUAAUCAAUUUCAAUGAAGCAGCAUCUAUCCUUGGGCCCUGUCACAAAGAAAAUGGAAAAAGAAGCCAAGAGAAGAGCCAAUCUGGUUAAGAAGAUAGCUGAGAUAUUUAUUAGUGGAGGGAAAGUAGAGGAGAUGGAGGAGUUUUUCUCCACACCGGUCACCCCGGUGUGUGAGACCCCUAAUAUGGCAGCAUUUGGUUGUUUUUAGACUACAUUGGGAUCGGUUGUAUACUGCUUUGGGGCCACACGAGGUAGUCACAAAGUCAAGUAUUGGGCCCUUGCAGAGAUUCAAAAAGGCAUGGAGGUAGCUCCUAGCCGCCGAAGUUGUGGUAAAGCUGUGGGUAUUGAUAGGAAAAUUUGUCUUUGGAGGCACUAAGCCCUGGGGUGGUUCUAGCACCAACUGUAGUUCAAAGGCGUGGGCGGAAGUAUUUCAUGCUUCCAAUAAUGAAUGGAAGCCAUUGAAACAACCUUCCUUCCAUGCGCCCUGUGUAUUUGUUUCUGUUACCCGUGCAUAAUGAAAAAAUCAUUAUUGUUGGAUCACUAUAUAAGCGCUGGUUGUAUGCUUAUUAUGUUUGUCAAGAUUCGUGGGAUGUGGUGGAUGAAAAAUUUGAGCUCAUAUUUCCAUAUUGUGAUCCAGUAUUGGCUAGUCAUACCCUUUAUUGGGUUGGAGAUGAGAUCAUUCAUGCAUAUGAUCUCAAUGAGAGAAAAUAUUUUUGCGGCCGUAUCCAUUUUUGGGCAUUGAAAGAAGUUUUGUUGGUUUUAAGAGAUGAUCCAUGUUUUCCACUACUCUUUUUUCACUUACAUGAUGAAACGUUUUGCCUGAUAUGGGAGGAUUAUGAGUAUUCUGCUGGAUCAAGAGAGGAGUACUCGGUUUGAGUGUGAAGCCAUUGUCUACCGAAUAUUAUCUCCCUGAUGGAAUUGUUAUCAACUCCUUCGAUGGCAUGGUGCUUAACACAGGUGGAAUGGGGGUAACUUCUGGUUCUAGAUAGGACAUUGAAGGUAGAGCAUCUACCAUUGCAUUGUGGGAAUGGUUCGGGAAGGUUCUUGUUUCAAGACACUGCAUGACUAAUUUGAUACUAGUAUUUGUUUUUGUGAAUUUGUUGAACAAUCUGUUUUUAAUGCUUUAUUAUAAGGUAUGUAGAAUCUUGGUUUUCAUUUUCUAA